AGAGUUUGAUCCUGGCUCAGAAUCAACGCUGGCGGCGUGCCUCAGACAUGCAAGUCGAACGCGAAAGCUCCCUUCGGGGAGCAAGUAGAGUGGCGCACGGGUGAGUAACACGUAGGUAAUCUACCUUUGGAUGGGGAAUAACAACCGGAAACGGUUGCUAAUACCGCAUAAUGCAGCGGCACCUAAUGGUGACAGUUGUUAAAGCGGGGGAUCGCAAGACCUCGCGUCUGAAGAGGAGCCUGCGGCAGAUUAGCUAGUUGGUAAGGUAACGGCUUACCAAGGCGAUGAUCUGUAGCCGGCCUGAGAGGGCGGUCGGCCACACUGACACUGACAUACGGGUCAGACUCCUACGGGAGGCAGCAGUCGGGAAUUUUGGGCAAUGGGCGAAAGCCUGACCCAGCAACGCCGCGUGAAGGAUGAAAUCCCUCGGGAUGUAAACUUCGCAAGAACGGGAAGAAUAAGUAAGAGUUAAUAUCUCUUACGAUGACGGUACUGUUUGUAAGCUCCGGCUAACUCCGUGCCAGCAGCCGCGGUAAUACGGGGGGAGCAAGCGUUGUUCGGAAUUACUGGGCGUAAAGAGUGCGUAGGCGGUUGGCUAAGUUUGGUGUGAAAUCUCCCGGCUCAACUGGGAGGGUGCGCCGAAAACUGGCUGGCUAGAGUGU
rnacentral:rRNA from 1 species